rnacentral:rRNA from 1 species
UACGAAGGGGCUAGCGUUGUUCGGAAUUAUCGUGGGCGUAAAGCGCACGUAGGCGGAUCGAUCAGUCAGGGGGUGAAACUCCCAGAGCUCAACUCUGGAACUGCCUUUGGAUACUGUCGGUCUAGAGUAUGGAAGAGGUGAGUGGAAUUCCGAGUGUAGAGGUGAAAUUCGUAGAUAUUCGGAGGAACACCAGUGGCGAAGGCGGCUCACUGG